rnacentral:lncRNA from 1 species
AUGAUGCUUUGCAUCACAGUGUGACAGCCAAGCUCUUCUGAGUUGAUGUUGUGGAGUUCAAGGGUCAUCUUUGUCUAACUUCCAUAGAAAACAGGGCAGGAAUGACUCCUCACACACUCUUAUGCACGCUCAGAAAUAAGAAUGGGAAGCUGGAGCUGGAUUUUUAUAUGAAUAAGCAUGAUAUUUGGAUAGCAAACUUCCUUGCAGAUGAUGGAGAGAGCCCCAGAAGAAGGGUUCUGCACUCUCAGGAGGUGGUUCCAGAGUUUCCUGGCCCAGAAAUGUACUCAUUACAGCUCUUUGAUACACUGAAAAUGGGUGAUCUGGAAGAGGAAGCAGGACAGAUUACAGACGGAAGACAGUUCUUUGUCAAGCCAGAGAGAUGGACUGUGGGAUUCAUGAGUACCUUCAGACUGACCUGGUUCAACUGA